CCGACCCCCUCCUCCUCACCACCGCCCGAAAGCGCCGCCGCCCAAGCUCGGCCAAGCCCUCGACGUCCCCGUUCAGCGUCGCCGCCGUCCCCUUGCCCUAGCCAUCACCUCCCCUCCUCCUCUCCAGCUCCCGAGAUCGCCGCCGCUGAGCGUCGCCGCCGGGUCAGCGCCGUCUACUCCUCCUCGCCAUCGAACUCACCCCUCGUCAUCAGCCACGCCUCCGAUGGCAUUUGAGCUCAGCCCUCAGGUUCAUCGCCGCCUCCGGAGCUCGACCAAGCCCUCGACGUCUGCCCUCAUGGCUUCGAACAAAUUGAAAGAGUCGACGUCUUCGAAUUCUUCAAAAUCAAAGCCUACCUCUUCUAAAUGCAAUAAUCCUCCAACUUCGUAAGUAAUUUGCCAUGAUAUAUUUAAUUUUUAACUCUUUCUGAAUUAUAAUUUUUGUUGUAAGCCAUGAUGUAUAAUGUUUGUGUUAAUAAACUUGUUAAUAUGCGUCUUAAUUUGCCCAAAUAUAUUUAAUUUUUAACUCUUUCUGAAUUAUAAUUUUCUUGUAGGGCUAAGAUAACACACUUGAGAAUUCCGGCCAAUUUGUGUUAUUUUCGAGAUUUAAUUGAUAAGCGAAUAAAAUUAGAUGAAAGACACAUAAAAGCCCUACAGACGACACCUUUUCACAGCUUUCUCAAUAUACCCACAUCCUUGAGCAAUGAGCAAAUAGCAAUUGAUUGCUUGAUUCAAAAUUUUAAUCCUGAUAAAUGCUCAUUCAUGAUUGGGAAUAAAAAUUGUGUGUUCGGUAUAGAUGAUAUUCACCGAAUUACCGGAUUGCCAAAGGAGGGAAUUCCGAUAAAAAUGAGUGGGGCAGCGGCUAAUACAAUCUACACCUAUUUUGUAAAGAAUUAUAAGAAAGCCGAUGAGGAAAAGAAGGCGGUGAUUUCGGGGAAGCGCGAUAGAAUGGCCGAGAUGAUUGUAGAUAUGAUUAAUGAAGACCCUAUAAUAUGUGUGAAACUUAUUGUGGCUUUCAUUAUCGGCUUCAUAUUAUGCCCGCGGACAUGUAAGACAUGUCCCUUGUGGGCGUUUAGAUAUGCGGAGCAGUUAUCAACUUUGCAUAAAUAUAAUUGGUGCCAUGCGGUGUUCACUCUUCUUUGCAAAGAGAUGAGUAAAUCAAAGAAGUCUCUUAGUAUGCGGGAAUUAGGUCAGCGCUCAAAUGCCGGGUACAUGGGUGGUUUUUCCUCCGUUUUACUGGUGAGUUACAUGAACAUUAUUUUGUAUAUCUUCCCGUAUUGAUAAUGAUUAUUGUUUAUGCACAUGCUAAUGUGUAGUUUCUUUUUUGUAGGUUUGGUUUUAUGAAAAAGUAGGGGAAUUAGAGUACACUUCAGAUAUUGAAAGGUUACCGCCGCUCUUUUGUGUGAAGAGUACUGGAAAGUGGAGGAGGACUACUAUGAACAAAUUAUAUAGAGUCCCGAAGUUGGUUACGGAUAAUGGCCAAGAGAAUACUCCUCUUAUUCAUACGGCAUCGCCAAUAGUAUUUGAAUCAAGGAAAGCUGAAUUAAUUUUCUUAAUUGCGGAGAAGACGUACGAGUUGAAUGAGCUCACUACAGAAUUACGAGAAUUAGAAGAGCGUGGUGCUAGAUGCUAAAAAAAAACCAAGGAGAAAGAGGAUGACAGAAAUGUAACUGAAGAAAAAAAAAUCAAAGAGGAUAUGGAAGCUAAGGAAUAUGAGAAUUUGGAAGGAACUGCGGAAGCCGAUUUAUGUGAUGACUUUGUGAUGAGCCCAAGAGACAUGAGAAUUUUAGAAGAUGCUCGAGAUGUUUCUCAAAAAGAUGAAGGUGGUAAUGAGAAUAACAGAGAAACGCCAUCUAUCAAACGGGCUGUCGGAAAGAGGGAGAGGAAGGAUGGACCCUCUGUUACUUCACCUUAUAUGCAUCUAGAUCAACCAAAGGAAUGCACAAAGAAGAGACGUGUCAUCCAGAUAUUGGAUAGUCCUGAUGGGAAAAAAAAAGUACAAAAAUGAAG